rnacentral:lncRNA from 1 species
UUUAGUACAUAAGUAGGCAAAAGAUGCUAUUGGGCUUUCAAAAGAUGUAGUUGGUUGGUUAAACCCGCAUCUUAUGAAUCAUUUGGAAAAAAAGUAUCACCCAAAAGAUACGGUUUUAAUUUAACCAAAUCUGUUGCAUGUAUGAAAAAAAAAUCAGCGCUUGAUAUAACUAAAUCCAUACAUCUUUUCCAACCAAAUUCAAUUAAGUUUUUUUAUCAGUAAGUUUUUUUAGAACAAACACUAUAAAUAAUCAAGUUAUAUAUUUGAGGAUUCAAACAUUUGUUAGUUAAUUUAAAUCUAAAAGUGUUAAAAUAUUGGCCUUUGGGCUUAUUCUGUUACAUUCAUUCACUUGGUUUAUAUUUGUUGGGCUCUUUACUUACUUGGUCUUAUUGGGCUUAUAGUUUAACUGGUCUUAUUGGGCUAAUGGUUUUUGUUAGUUGUUGGUUGGUUGUUGUAACAGGUCCAACAACCUAAAAUAUCUCAAGGGUGCUUUCUGUAAUUGUGGGGGACUGCGAUUGCCUUUUGCAUGAAGAUCUGGACUAAUCUGAAACUUGUUAAGUUUCAGAUUAUAUAUAGCUCUUAUCCUUCACAAUAAAGUUUGUUGAGUUGUAACUUUCUCUCUCUUGUCAUCCGUCUCAGUUAGGGUUUCAUGUUCAGAGAUCUAUGAUCAUCAGUGGAUGAUCAUCUUUGUACAGUUUGUAUCUUGUAUUGAUUGAUCUUACUAUUGUA